CAGAGAAUCCACCAUUUACUCUACUUCUCUGAAUAAUUAUAGAUUUGGCUCCAGAUUGCAAGGAAACUGGAGAAGAGUCAAGCAGGAACUCUGGUUUGUUGAUAGGUUAAUGGAUUUUCUAAUCCACUUCUUCCACGUCAUCCGGGUACUGGAAGGUAUGUUCUUGCUACAGAGUACCAUGGUCUUCAGAGGAAAAGCAGCAGCAGUAACUGAACAGGCAGAAGCAACAACUUGCACCUUUAAUUGAGGAGAAUUGGAAUGGACCAUUAGCUUCACAAGAUGUUCACAACUCUGACCACAGUUUCUUUACUAGUACUUGGAGGAUACUCGUUCUUGACAUCAUUCAUGUCCCAUCCAGGAAACACUAUUGGUUUUAAAGGCUCUUCAGCUGAAUCUUCAUCAUCUGCAUCAUCGUCAUGUGCUUGUGGGAUGUCCGUCCUUCGCCUCAUUGUUGUCUCCUUCAGGAAGAGAACCACGGUUUAGGUGACUUUGCCUAGAAUCUUCACCACGUGUAAUAUUCUCCUAUUUUACACUUUUACUGGAAGAAAUCUGAGGGGGCUUGGGAGGAAGAAAUUGCAGAAAAAAUAUCUAUUGAUAUCACAUUUUCUUUCAGAAGAUGUGAUUUGCUGGAAAUGAUCCCUGAAUAAUGGUCAAGGAUUCACAAUAGCAGAAAUUACUGUAUUCUACUAGCAAAGAAAGUCAAAGUAAUGCCUCCUUAGAUUUGAUCCUCUGAAAUAAAGAUGAAUUUGUGGCAAGA